rnacentral:rRNA from 1 species
GAUGAACGCUGGCGGCGUGCCUAAUACAUGCAAGUCGAGCGAACAGACGGGAGUGCUUGCACUCUCUGACGUUAGCGGCGGACGGGUGAGUAACACGUGGGUAACCUACCUAUAAGACUGGGAUAACUUCGGGAAACCGGAGCUAAUACCGGAUAAUAUUUAGCUUCGCAUGAAGCAAUAGUGAAAGACGGUUCUGCUGUCACUUAUAGAUGGACCCGCGGUGUAUUAGCUAGUUGGUGAGGUAACGGCUCACCAAGGCAACGAUACAUAGCCGACCUGAGGGGGGGACCGGCCCACCUGGGACUGAGACCCGCCCCAGACUCCUACGGGAGGCAGCAGGAGGGAAUCUUCCGCAAGGGACGAAAGUCUGACGGGGCAAUGCCGGGGGAGUGAAGAAGGUUUUCGGAUCGUAAAACUCUGUUGUAAGGGAAGAACAAGUACGUUAGUAACUGAACUUACCUUGACGGUACCUUACCAAAAAGCCACGGCUAACUACGU